AGGGUUGUGGCUCAGUGGUAGAGCACUUGCCUAGCAUGCACAAGGCACUGGGUUCGAUUCCCAGGCACCAUA
rfam:Ictidomys tridecemlineatus contig044676, whole genome shotgun sequence.